rnacentral:rRNA from 1 species
CUCGCCGAAAGGUGAGGUAAUCCUCAAUGGUGUGGGAAGUACAUAUGUACAUCCCACUAAAGCUUUAGCGCUUCGGGAUGAGUCUGCGUCCUAUCAGCUUGUUGGUAGAGUAAAGGUCUACCAAGGCUAAGACGGGUAACUGGUCUGAGAGGAUGGUCAGUCACAGUGGCACUGAAACACGGGCCACACUCCUACGGGAGGCAGCAAUUAGGAAUCUUGCACAAUGGAGGAAACUCUGAUGCAGCGACACCGCGUGAAGGAUGAAGACCCUCGGGUUGUAAACUUCUUUUAUAAUCUAACAAGUUCUGAGUGGAGUAUGAAUAAGCACCUGCUAACUGCGUGCCAGAAGCAUCGGUGAAGCGUGGGGUGCGAGCGUUACCCGGAUUUAUUGGGCGUAAAGAGAUGCGUAGGCGUUUUGGUAAGUCUUCUGUCAAAGCCUUCGGCCUAACCGAAGAAAGGCAGAGGAUACUAUCAGAAUUGAGACAGAGAGGGGGAAGUGGAAUUCCCGGUGGAGCGGUGAAAUGCGUUGAUAUCGGGAGGAACACCAGUGGCGAAGGCAACUUCCUGGCUCUGUUCUGACGCUGAGGCUCGAAAGCGUGGAAAGCAAAGCGGAUUAGAUACCCGUGUAGUCCAUGCUGUAAACGUUGGAUACU